UAGGGAAUCUUCCACAAUGGGCGAAAGCCUGAUGGAGCAACGCCGCGUGUGUGAUGAAGGGUUUCGGCUCGUAAAACACUGUUGUAAGAGAAGAAUGACAUUGAGAGUAACUGUUCAAUGUGUGACGGUAUCUUACCAGAAAGGGACGGCUAAAUACGUACCAGC
rnacentral:rRNA from 1 species